rnacentral:rRNA from 1 species
GACAGAUGUGCCAAGCGUUAGGCGGAAUCACUGGGCUUAAAGCGUGUGUAGGCGGAACGUUAAGUGCCUUGUGAAAUCCCACGGCUCAACCGUGGAGCUGCUGGGCAUACUGGCGUUCUUGAGCCAGCCAGGGGUCGUCGGAACAAACGGUGGAGCGGUGAAAUGCGUAGAUAUCGCUUGGAACGCCGACGGCGAAAGCAGUCUGCUGGGGGCCUUCUGACGCUGAGACACGAAAGCCAGGGGAGCGAACGGG